rnacentral:misc_RNA from 1 species
GAGAGAGAGAUGAAGAAUUAGAAAUUAGAAUCAGAUAUCAUGUCAAAACAUCCUUGCUUUGCAAAGGGCAAAAAAUCUUAAAUUUUGAAGGAUUUUUCCAGAAAACGCAGUAGUGGACUGGGAACUAUACAAAAUCAAACGCGUUUAAACACAGACAACAUUCGACUCCAAGGGAAAAAAAAACGUGAAAACCCAGAAAUACAUACAGAAGAAGAAGAGCAGAGGAAGUCUCAAAACAAGAGACAGACGGAAAUUGUACAUACCAGUAGUUCAGAACGUCGAACCCU